AUGGUAAAGACCUUUAGACUUUCGGGCCAGAGAGUGCAGGAGAGUCUACUUUGCACUUGGAGCGUGUGCAAUCGACAGCGGCUGAUCGACAGCAUCACGAGCAUGGGGAGGCCGUCUUCCACGGAGAAGCUGGUGUGCGUGGCCCUGGCGGCGCUGGCCGUGCUGUCGCCGCUGUACAUGGACCGGGAGUUGGAGGCGGAGGAGGAGGAGGAGGAGGAGGGAUGGGGCCUGUUGUUGCCGUCGGCGCUGUGGCUGCCGGCGCUGCUGGUGGUGCUCAUCCUGGCCAUCAACGUGGCGUGCUUCGUCGACCGGAGGGUCGUCAGGUUCGACCCCUACUGGAUCCACCGCGUCGGGGGCUCCUCCUGCGGCCUCAUGGCCACGCUGCUGCUGCUCGGCUUCGUCCUCAAGUGCAAGGCCUCCUUCUAG
rnacentral:rRNA from 1 species